rnacentral:rRNA from 1 species
UACGUAGGGGGCUAGCGUUGUCCGGAAUCAUUGGGCGUAAAGAGCGUGUAGGCGGUCCGGUAAGUCCGCUGUGAAAGUCGGGGGCUCAACCCUCGAAUGCCGGUGGAUACUGUCGGGCUAGAGUGCGGAAGAGGCGAGUGGAAUUCCCGGUGUAGCGGUGAAAUGCGCAGAUAUCAGGAGGAACACCUAUUGCGAAGGCAGCUCGCUGGGAUGUAACUGACGCUGAGACGCGAAAGCGUGGGGAGCAAACAGG